GCGUCAGUGGUUCAGUGGUGGAAUACUCGCCUGCCACGCGGGUGGCCCGGGUUCGAUUCCCGGCCGACGCA
rfam:Ixodes scapularis strain Wikel colony gcontig_1107728709112, whole genome shotgun sequence.